UUACAUUUGAGUGAGUGGCGAACUGGUGAGUAACACGUGGGAAACCUGCCCAGAAGCGGGGGAUAACACCUGGAAACAGAUGCUAAUACCGCAUAACAACUUGGACCGCAUGGCCCGAGCUUGAAAGAUGGCUUCGGCUAUCACUUUUGGAUGUCCCGCGGCGUAUUAGCUAGAUGGUGGGGUAACGGCUCACCAUGGCAAUGAUACGUAGCCGACCUGAGAGGGUAAUCGGCCACAUUGGGACUGAGACACGGCCCAAACUCCUACGGGAGGCAGCAGUAGGGAAUUUCCACAAUGGACGAAAGUCUGAUGGAGCAACGCCGCGUGAGUGAAGAAGGGUUUCGGCUCGUAAAACUCUGUUGUUAAAGAAGAACAUAUCUGAGAGUAACUGCUCAGGUAUUGACGGUAUUUAACCAGAAAGCCAGGCUAACUACGUGCCAGCAGCCCGGUAAUACGUAGGUGGCAAGCGUUGUCCGGAUUUAUUGGGCGUAAAGCGAGCGCAGGCGGGUUUUUAAGUCUGAUGUGAAAGCCUUCGGCUCAACCGAAGAAGUGCAUCGGAAACUGGGAAACUGGAGUGCAGAAGAGGACAGUGGAACUCCAUGUGUAGCGGUGAAAUGCGUAGAUAUAUGGAAGAACACCAGUGGCGAAGGCGGCUGUCUGGUCUGUAACUGACGCUG
rnacentral:rRNA from 1 species